rnacentral:misc_RNA from 1 species
CCUCUUCGGUUCCAAUGACUAUGUGGAAUCUUCUUCUCCCAUUCAAACCCUAAUUUGAAUUACGUGAUCCCACCUCCUCAACUACAACCCAUCUUUUAUUAUAUAUAGUAAUAAUCAUCAGUAUUUUCGUAGAAAAAAAACAUACACUUUCCUUGCUGGUUGGUUGUUUUAUGCUUUCACUGAUGUUAUUUGGCAACAUGGGUUUUCAAAUUUCUGAUGAACUGUUGGGUACUUUUGUCCCAAUUCUUGUCUACUGGGUUUAUUCGGGGUUGUAUGUUGGAUUAGGAUACUUUGAAAAUUAUAGAUUGCACACCAAGCAGGAUGAGGAUGAGAAAAAUUUGGUCUCCAAAGCCACUGUUGUGAAAGGCGUUCUUCUUCAACAAUCUAUACAAGCUGUUGUUGCUAUCCUCUUGUUUAC